rnacentral:lncRNA from 1 species
GAAAUAUUGAAAAAACUAUGUAAAAGAAAUCAAUGGAAAUAAAUAAAACGAUAAACUCUUAAAAACACACACAAAUUUGUUCUAAGUGGAUUCGGUACCUCGAGGCUCAUUAUCUCUCUUUUGGGGCUCCUAAUGGAGUAAUCUCCAGAAUCUAUUCAAGGGAUAUUCGGAGAUUAGCUGAAUCCUACUCAAGAACAAAUUGACAGAUUUUCCCUCUAAAAAGAUAAAAUUCAGUUCAAAAAAAAAACUUCAAAGCAUGAAGAGGAAAUUCAGAAAAUCAAAAUAUAGUUGAAUGCAUAUGUUGAGGGGGAGAAUCUGAAUUUUAACAAGCUAAAACAUUAAUGACAUAUAAGCCAAACAAUUGAUUGCAUAAUAUGAAGGCUUAUAUAAUUCCAAAUGAAAGGGGAGCUUUAACUCCGAAAUUUAAUGUUUCACUCCUUUCAAACUUGGAUAAAUUAAAUUAUCAGACAUUUGAAUUCAUUUAUGGAUUUUACUUCAUUGUUUUAUGAGCAAUUCAUUUUACAUAUACUC